UUUAAGUGCAACAAAUUUCCGUGUCUAAUUUUGACCAUCCGUCUUAUUUGAAAAUUUUGUAUAAUUAGUAUUUUUAUUGUCAUGAGAUAAUAAAACAUGAAUAUUACUUUAUACGUAACUUAUGUUUAAAAUUUUUGAAAUUUUUUUAAAUAAAACGAAUGGUCAAAGUUGUGUACGGAAAAUCAUGGCUGCAUUUAAA
rfam:Oryza sativa Japonica Group DNA, chromosome 3, cultivar: Nipponbare, complete sequence.